UACAGAGGGUGCGAGCGUUGUCCGGAAUCACUGGGCGUAAAGGGCGCGUAGGUGGCGCUCCAAGUCCGUGGUGAAAGCUCGAUGCUCAACAUCGAGUCGGCCACGGAGACUGGAGGGCUCGAGCACUGUAGGGGCAGAUGGAAUUCCGGGUGUAGCGGUGGAAAUGCGUAGAGAUCCGGAAGAACACCGGUGGCGAAGGACGGUCGCUGGGCAGUUGCUGACACUGAGGCGCGACGAGCGUGGGGAGCAAACAGG
rnacentral:rRNA from 1 species